rnacentral:misc_RNA from 1 species
UGGUAAGAAAAAGGGGAAAAUUCCCUUGGAAAGAAACGAUAAAUUUAAGGCAACAAAAAACUGUCACGAAGAAAUGUGUCAGCGACUUGGGAAAGAAAAAAUAAAGUUGGAAAUGUUAACGACCCGGUUGACGACGUCUAUCGUCUUGAUCAAGUCAAGAAAAAUUUUGUCGAGUGUAAAAUAAUUGAAUUGUUUUGUGACGAUUCAUUUGUGUUUCUCUGUUGAAAAAGUAGCGUUGGUUGCUCAUCAUUUUCAUCAUUAAUGUGACUGACGACAUCAAACUUUGUUUGUGUUUAACGAAGUGUGUAGCCAGCAGAGAGAGAGGAGAGAAGAUGUGGGUCUUUUGCAGGUACUAACUAGGAGAAAACGUCCCAGAGACUGGGGGAUUGAGAAAAUGAGGCGGCGUCGACUGACCUGUUGACCUACUGAGACUUGAAAUAUCAAAAGGCAACCAGGAGAAGAGUAGUGGACAGACGGGAUUGUAGCCCCGGAUGUCUGCCUGCGCACUGCCCUAUGCUUGCCUUUAACUUACAUUUUAUAUCUCCCUCCUCUCUAUAUAUACCGUAUCUUCCUUGGUUUACGAAUUGUAGUAGAACAGCUACUUUAGUUUGUCUUUUUAUCUUGUUCUAACCCCCUAAAAAAAAGAAACUCGAGGUCUUCUGCGUCGUCGUGUCUUCUCUUUCCUUCCUUUCUCCCCCGUUUUUUUUCCCCUUUAUUUGGUUUCGUUUUGUUUUCUCGUAUUAUUAUUAUUCCCUCUCUUUUGAGACUCGUUUCUUCGAAGGUAAAGGUGAUUGGAGUUGUGUACGGUACGGCAUUCCCGGAAAUGAGCACACACACCGGUUCUUCUCGCGCUGCUAAUAGGAAAAAGAGCUAGGUCGAUAGGUACCAACAUAUAACUUUGUCAAUGUUUUAUUUUCGUGUUCAGAUAAAUUGUCGAAUCAUCUUUUCCUUCAUGUGAGAAAAACAAAUAAUAAAUCUUGGCCAGCCGAGAGAAAACCUGGUGGACCCGAUACCGAAUCAACAGCACAAGGUGUUGUAGACACACCAGGUAGAAGACAAAGAAAUCACCGCUACACACAAGAAGAGUUAAGCAGCGCGUGUAUUAUAUACAAAGCUCUUGGGUUGUGCGCCAGCGUGUUCCCCUUUUCUCUUCCAUCUCCUUUUUAUUCUCUCUCUAUCUCUCUCUCUCUCUCUCUUCAUUCUCCUUCUCGUAGUGUAGUGGUGGUUUUCUUUUUUUCCGAGUUUUUCGCCCAUCCAUUCGGGGGUCCGUCCUGUUGGUUGGCGUACGCGCCCCUUAAACUAUCUCGUCGACGAGUACCGCUCUGCCGACACUCAGUCCACGUUGAGCCGUGGGGCACUUCACAACUCCCCACAACCGCUCCUCUCUUCUCGUUUCCUUCCUCUCGACAACAAUGAUCCGCGGUGCGUGCGUUCCAGUCACCACCCGCCCCCUUUGUUUUGUAAACAAAAGGAAACACACACACACAAAAAAAAGCGACUUUUGACUCGAAUCAAACCUUUUCUCCAGAAAAAGUUCAAAACGUGUUGCGAUCUAUUGAAAGUUGCUCGGGUUUCUGAAGAACGUUUUGCCCAUCGCCUUUCUGGGUGCGUUCAGCCGAUUGAUUGCAAAUGGCUGGCUAAUAUGCUUCCCGAAAUUCAAGCUGGUGUUCGCGCCAGUAUAAUUUCACCCUCUGAAGAUGCCAAAGAAAAACUGCCCAAGCUCCGCACAGUUGUUAUCGAUCCCCACAACGAAUCCUACUCGAUGGAAAUCCGCCUAGAACCGACAGGAUCGCUUUCAAUGGAAGAUCUCAAACAAGCUUUCCAGCUGCUGGAUAUGGCAGUGGACAUAUCUGUGGCGGAUUGCAGUCACAAUACGGAGGACUUGGUGGGUCAAACCAGACGAAACGUCGGACAAAUCGAGCAACUUUCCGAAGUAUUUGGUCUUCUUUUCGCUUCCGGAUGCAUCUCUUAUACUUUCCGUAAGCGGAUCGUCAUUGAAUUGGCUGAUUUGGAAAAGGAGAUUGAUGGACUGAGUGCCAAGCUUGCAGAAUGGAAUCAACGGUGGAAGGAAAUCGAAGAAAUGUCUCUUUUAGCGCUCUUCUCUCGCGGUUACCUUCUCCAGUUGGCCGAUUUGAUUGGCCGGAACAGAAUAGCAGAUGUCCUCUCAAUCUUGAGAAUUCUACUGCCUUCGGCGACAGUAAAAAUGGAAACACUAGUCAAUCAACUGAUUCAAGAAGCCCCUCGCAUCAGCGACACAACGGGUUGGCUGUCAACCCGGCUCAGCUGUUUCAAAUUCUUCGCGAUCUACACCGACUUAUUGAAGCCGAGUUCCACGAGAGAAUUCACGAUCUCGCCCUCCCGGCAUUCCUCAUCUCUUACGGUCGAACGUUAAAGUCUCAUUUUAUCGACAAAUCAGUCGUCAUCUUAAACGUUUCCCGAGAACUACUAGUCGGAAGUGCCUUGGCCGCCUACAUCUUACUGACUCGCCAAUCAUUAGAGCCCAACCGAAUCCUUUUCGUGACGACAAACACGGACAAGCUGGAAGUCGAACGAUUCAUGAAACUUUGGUCUGUAGCUAAUGUUGAUGACGAUGACGAUGAUGAUGUGACUAUGUUGAUGACUCAGGCCGAUUUACACGCAUUGCUUAAGAGUACGUCAUUGAACUUGUGAUUCUCCUGAAGAACUUGCUAAAGGCGAAUACAUUUUGGCAAAGAUGAUCUACUCUGUAGAACCUUGGCAUCCGCCCAAUCCCGAUUUAAUCCGUCCGCUAUUCUCUAGAAAAAAGGUAAACAUAGCUUCGUUUCCUUUUCCACAGUAAGUUUGAAAAUUGGUUGAUAGGUGGCGUGGCGACUAGUUUAUGGUUGGUAUUGAAAUUUCUCUGAUUAUCGAUUAUCGCUAUGCCUUUAGUGUUUUAGGUGAUUCCAGGUUCUACUUUGGACAUUUAUUAUUUAAGUCCGAAUAGUCAUUAUUAAAUUAAAAAAACAUUUAGGUAAAUUUCUGUGUCUAACAAUUAUAACUUAUUUUAUUUAUUGGGUUCUACUGUCCAGUGCUGCAGUCCUAGUGACGGUAAUACUUGUUUAAGGUUCUACUGUCCUAUCUUACAAAUUAAUAGUAAAAAUUUAUUUUUCAUUUUUGUUUGCUUGCUGUCUUAAAAAAUAGGUUUUAAUUAAUUUGUUCCAGUGCGAAAACAAUUGAAAUUACGUCAUUCUGGCCGCCGUUCUACUGUCUUCUGGUAGCAGUGGCGAUAACCGUUUCAAACGCAUUUUUUUAUGUAUUGUAUUUUAGUGUCCAUUGUCCUGGUUAUGGUGACGGUAAUACUGACCCUAGGUAUACUGACUUUCACUUCACAAUUAAAUA